GUACGAACUGUGCAAACGUUAUUCGGAAUCACUGGGCUUAAAGGGUGCGUAGGCGGCAGUGUAGGUCAGAUGUGAAAGCCCACGGCUCAACCGUGGAAUUGCGUUUGAAACCACACAGCUUGAGGGAGAUAGAGGAGAGCGGAACUGUUGGUGGAGCGGUGAAAUGCGUUGAUAUCAACAGGAACACCGGUGGCGAAAGCGGCUCUCUGGAUCUCUACUGACGCUGAGGCACGAAAGCUAGGGGAGCGAACGGGAUUAGAAACCCCAGUAGUCC
rnacentral:rRNA from 1 species